rnacentral:rRNA from 1 species
AACGGACGCUGGCGGCAGGCCUAACACAUGCAAGUCGAGCGAACCCUUCGGGGUUAGCGGCGGACGGGUGAGUAACGCGUGGGAACGUGCCCUUUGCUACGGAAUAGCCCCGGGAAACUGGGAGUAAUACCGUAUGUGCCCUUCGGGGGAAAGAUUUAUCGGCAAAGGAUCGGCCCGCGUUGGAUUAGGUAGUUGGUGGGGUAAUGGCCUACCAAGCCGACGAUCCAUAGCUGGUUUGAGAGGAUGAUCAGCCACACUGGGACUGAGACACGGCCCAGACUCCUACGGGAGGCAGCAGUGGGGAAUCUUAGACAAUGGGCGCAAGCCUGAUCUAGCCAUGCCGCGUGAUCGAUGAAGGCCUUAGGGUUGUAAAGAUCUUUCAGUGGGGAAGAUAAUGACUGUACCCACAGAAGAAGCCCCGGCUAACUCCGUG